GAUGAACGCUGGCGGCGUGCCUAAUACAUGCAAGUCGAGCGAACGGACGAGAAGCUUGCUUUUCUGAUGUUAGCGGCGGACGGGUGAGUAACACGUGGAUAACCUACCUAUAAGACUGGGAUAACUUCGGGAAACCGGAGCUAAUACCGGAUAAUAUUUUGAACCGCAUGGUUCAAAAGUGAAAGACGGUCUUGCUGUCACUUAUAGAUGGAUCCGCGCUGCAUUAGCUAGUUGGUAAGGUAACGGCUUACCAAGGCAACGAUGCAUAGCCGACCUGAGAGGGUGAUCGGCCACACUGGAACUGAGACACGGUCCAGACUCCUACGGGAGGCAGCAGUAGGGAAUCUUCCGCAAAGGGCGAAAGCCUGACGGAGCAACGCCGCGUGAGUGAUGGAGGUCUUCGGAUCGUAAAACUCUGUUAUUAGGGAAGAACAUAUGUGUAAGUAACUGUGCACAUCUUGACGGUACCUAAUCAGAAAGCCACGGCUAACUACGUG
rnacentral:rRNA from 1 species